rnacentral:rRNA from 1 species
ACUCAAAGGAAUAGACGGGGGCCCGCACAAGCGGUGGAGCAUGUGGUUUAAUUCGACGCAACGCGAAGAACCUUACCUACUCUUGACAUCUUCGGAAGCUAGCAGAGAUGCUGGUGUGCCUUCGGGAACCGAGAGACAGGUGCUGCAUGGCUGUCGUCAGCUCGUGUCGUGAGAUGUUGGGUUAAGUCCCGUAACGAGCGCAACCCUUAUUCUUAGUUGCCAGCGGGUAAUGCCGGGAACUCUAGGGAGACUGCCGGUGAUAAGCCGGAGGAAGGUGGGGACGACGUCAAGUCAUCAUGGCCCUUACGAGUAGGGCUACACACGUGCUACAAUGGGCGGUACAGAGGGAAGCGAAGCUGUGAAGUGAAGCGAAUCUCGCUAAAGCCGCUCGUAGUCCGGAUUGGAGUCUGCAACUCGACUCCAUGAAGUUGGAAUCGCUAGUAAUCGCGGAUCAGAACGCCGCGGUGAAUACGUUCUCGGGCCUUGUACACACCGCCCGU